AGUGAACGCUGGCGGUAGGCCUAACACAUGCAAGUCGAACGGCAGCACAGUAAGAGCUUGCUCUUACGGGUGGCGAGUGGCGGACGGGUGAGGAAUACAUCGGAAUCUACUUUUUCGUGGGGGAUAACGUAGGGAAACUUACGCUAAUACCGCAUACGACCUACGGGUGAAAGCAGGGGAUCUUCGGUCCUUGCGCGAUUGAAUGAGCCGAUGUCGGAUUAGCUAGUUGGCGGGGUAAAGGCCCACCAAGGCGACGAUCCGUAGCUGGUCUGAGAGGAUGAUCAGCCACACUGGAACUGAGACACGGUCCAGACUCCUACGGGAGGCAGCAGUGGGGAAUAUUGGACAAUGGGCGCAAGCCUGAUCUAGCCAUACCGCGUGGGUGAAGAAGGCCUUCGGGUUGUAAAGCCCUUUUGUUGGGAAAGAAAAGCAGCAGGUUAAUACCCCGCUGUUCUGACGGUACCCAAAGAAUAAGCACCGGCUAACUUCGUG
rnacentral:rRNA from 1 species